rnacentral:lncRNA from 1 species
GAAGUUCACUAACAAGGUGUGGAUAGCCUCUGUCAGUCUUGUUUGCGUCUGCAAACCCUGCUUCUGCCAGUGGGAGUCCAGUUUCCGCUGUGCUGUGUCAAGUUUCUAGCUUAGUCGUCCUUGUCCUUCCCAAUUGAGAUAAGGAUUUAGAAUAGAGUUACUCUAAAGAAGUGUCUCUCGAGUCUAUUAAAUUUCUUUCUUAACAUCAAAUCUCAAGGUAGUAGAGCUUUAAUCAUGGCGAGACUACAUACCUACUUUCCAUUAUUUAAGGAACUCUUCUCGGUUUGUUUUGCAAAAUUUUAACUCAAUUUUCUAGAAUCUUUAUGUGUGAAGGAGGAUCUUUUAGGAACCAUUCAGGUUGCUGGAAAUCUUUUUAUUAACUCCCUCUCGAAUCUGCAUGGAUUUUAGUACCCUUCCCUUCGUCACCGUGAUCAUUGAAAUCGAUCAGUAAACAUUAAAACAUAAUAUUUCCACCGCUUCAUUGGCUUGGUUGGUACCGUUGUGGCCUCUGUCGGUGAGGUGGGAACCUAGUCUCGAUCUGGAUUUACUGCGGCCUAUCCUCCAAUGAGGGCGGCUCCAUGGAGGAACUCCUUGUUUACCAUGGGGCUCCAACCGACUUCUAUCCCCCCAAAUCAUCUCCACAAAUUUUUCUUCCCUGGAGAGGUGGGAAAACUCAGGAGAUUUAUGGAGUAAGCUCCAGCUCCCAGUUAAGCUUGUUAAGGACAUGCCCAAUUCCAAACGAACAUGAAGCAGGAUCUUUUAGGAACCAUUCAGGUUGCUGGAAAUCUUUUUCUGAAGUCUACCUAGCAACUCUGCAUGGAUUUUAGUACCGUUCCCUUGAUGACUGAUAUCAUUGGAAUCAAUCAGUGGACAUUAAAACUAAACAUUUUCAGAUUUUUCAUCUUAGAGGUUUUUACAAUCAAAUUCAAUGUCAAAAUCUUUAGACUAGGAUUAUAAUUCCUAGGAAUAUUUCCUCGUGUUUACUUCUAUUACCAUCUGGUACAAAUUUUUCAAGAUCAUCAUUUUCAAUAUCUUGUCCCCUUGAUAUUGGAGGCUUAUGCUCUUCGUAAUUGUGCUUUGGGUAUUUGACCUAGUAGUAACACUUGCCUGAUGUUUCACCUAAUAGACCAAUAAUCAUUUCUGAAUCAAAUUAUACUUUGUGAGUGCGUUUGUUUGCCAAACGUAUCAUCUUCUAUCUGAUUUUCAUCUUCAGGGAUUUCUCCUUUAACUUCGGACUUGAUAAAUAGAUGCAUGUGAACUUCAACUGUCUUUUCAACCGACCAGUUCACUCUUUCGGCGAGUCUUUCACAGUAUUCAUACCCACAGUCAUUCAACCAAUGAUACCAAGGCUUUUUUCCUUUUCCUCUAUGAUUCUAAAAUGAGAAAUAAGAACUCUUAAUCUUUUGCAUAGACUCUAGGUCUUUUGCUCUCGUUCUCUUACCUAUUUGGACAUUUCUUCCUCGGAUGCCUCUCUUGCUUGCAUACCCGAAAUUUAAUUUCUUUCUGCUGUAGUAUUUAUCGGCACGACAAGACAGAGAGAAGCAGUAAGACAUUUUUAUCUGGAGGAAUAUGUACUAUGUCAAGUUUGUAAUAACUAUUCCGUUCUUUUAAGAUGAGAAGCCUAGUUUAGUUAGCUUCUUCCAGAUUCAGAUUCAGGAAUCUUUCAACAUAUUCAGAGUCAGUUCUCAUUACAAAUUUGUUGGGGUUAGGAAGAUGUAAAAAAAAUUUUAAUACAAUUUUUCAUAGCAAGUACUUCCUUUUCAUGGCUCAUCCCAUACAUUUUGAUAAAGUCUUGCUGGUUUUCGUUUUUAGUUUUUUGUACUGCUUCCCAGUAUGCUUUUCAUGCGUCAAUCUCCAAGACCGUGUCAUCUGAAUCAGAAGCUAACGAUGAAGGUCGCAAAUGCUUUACCCUUUCUUUUACCUUUCUUUUACCUUUCUUACUGCUUGAGUGUCUUCAUUGUCCCAAAACCGAGAUGUUGUACUUGGAGCUUUCUUGGUAGCCUACUAAGAUAUUUUAAAAUUGUCUAGCAUAGUUAGCGGAUCUAUAGUAUCUCUGGACUUUCUAUCUUUUAGUUUGUCAGGAAAGUUUAUUAUAUCUCGCAAAUGUAGGUUUGUAACAUUAGCUUUCUCUUUUUCCCUACUUUAAUAUAUUUUACCUUCAGCCAGAUAGAAUCAUUCCUUCUUUCCUAAAGACAUUUGUCAGCAGUUAUAAGAGAUUCAUUUGGAUCCCCUCAGUUUUGCUAAAGACUAUCACAUCGUCUACAUAACAAUACAAAAUUUGCGAAGAUACUUGACGGCAUCAUUCAUUUUGCGCUGAAAAAUUCCUAGGGCAGAAUGGCAUAACUAACCAUUUGGGAAGAUUACCCGGCUAGUGCUAAACCAAUUAUAUGGAUGCCGAUUUAAUCCUAAAUUUUUCAAUUUUGCUCAUUUAUUCCUAAACCUUUGGGCGAAAUUCUAAUAUAGUCUCUUUGGUCAAUUUUCGUCGGAAUCACUAAUGUGGCAGCAUGCCAUGUGGGAAUUGCAAUGACCACUUUCGUAUUGAAUUUAGAAACAUUUCAGGCUAUUUAAGAUUUAUUCUGUAUGAGAUCUCCUGCCUUAGCUAUCCUACAGUCAUAAUCUUUUGUUAGUUUGUUGAUCUGACGAUAGUCUGUAACGAUUCACGCUUUU